AUAGCGUAUAUUAAAGUUGUUGCAGUUAAAAAGCUCGUAGUUGAAUAUCUGGCCGGUGCUGUUCUUGGCUCCCUGAGUCGGUGCAGCGCCUGGUUAUCCGUAUGGGAAACCAGCUCGACCUUCACUGUGUCGGCUGGCGGAUCAUACACUUUACUUUGAAAAAAUUAGAGUGUUUCAGGCAGGCAAUUGCUUGGAUACUGUAGCAUGGAAUAAUGGAAUAGGACUUUGACCUAUUUGUUGGUUUCUCGAGGUCAAAGUAAUGAUUAAUAGGGACAGUUGGGGGCAUUCGUAUUUAAUUGUCAGAGGUGAAAUUCUUGGAUUUUUUAAAGACGAACUUAUG
rnacentral:rRNA from 2 species